UUGUCUCAAAGAUUAAGCCAUGCAUGUCUAAGUACGAGCCGUUUUACGGCGAAACCGCGAAUGGCUCAAUAAAUCAGUUAUGGUUCCUUAGCUAAACCUCAUUACUUGGAUAACUGUGGUAAUUCUAGAGCUAAUACAUGCUACUCAAUUUCGACGGUGCGAACCGAAGAAAGGCUUUUAUUAGACCAAAACCAGUACGGCCCUUAAAAAGCCGUCUAUUAUGGUGACUCUGGAUAACUUCAGCGGAUCGCACGGCUUCGAGCCGGCGACGAGUCUUUCAAAUGUCUGCCUUAUCAACUGUCGAUGGUACGUUACGCGCGUACCAUGGUCGCAACGGGUAACGGGGAAUCGGGGUUCGAUUCCGGAGAGGGAGCCUGAGAAACGGCUACCACAUCCAAGGAAGGCAGCAGGCGCGCAAAUUACCCACUCCCGGCACGGGGAGGUAGUGACGAAAAAUAACGAUACGGGACUCUUCCGAGGCCCCGUGAUUGGAAUGAGUUGAAUUUAAAUCCUACUACGAGGAACGAUUGGAGGGCAAGUCUGGUGCCAGCAGCCGCGGUAACUCCAGCUCCAAUAGCGUAUAUUAAAGUUGUUGCGGUUAAAAAGCUCGUAGUCGGAAUUUUGGCGGUGCGGGGUAAUUGACUGAGGCCUACGGGCUUUAGUUUAUCUUUCCUUGGCCUGGACGGGGUGACCCGCCUUCGGUCUUAGCCGCGCCGCCGUCAGCCGUUUGGCUUCACCGGGUGCCCUUCAAAAGGUGUCUGUGAAAGCUACGGCGCGAUUCACUUUGAACAAAUUAGAGUGCUCAAAGCAGGCUAACUUAGCCGGAAUAUCUCAGCAUGGAAUGAUGGAAAAUGUACCGUGGCCGAUUUUUUUACUGGCUUCACUUCCACGGUAAAUGGUCGAUAGAAACGGACGGGGGCAUCCGUACCGCGGCGAUAGAGGUGAAAUUCUUGGACCGCCGCGAGACGAACGACUGCGAAGGCAUUUGCCAAGAAUGCUUUCAUUGAUCAAGAACGAAAGUUAGAGGUUCGAAGGCGAUCAGAUACCGCCCUAGUUCUAACCAUAAACGAUGCCGACCGGCGAUCCGCCGGUGUUACUCCCAUGACUCGGCGGGCGGCUUCCGGGAAACCACGAGUGUUCGGGUUCCGGGGGAAGUAUGGUUGCAAAGCUGAAACUUAAAGGAAUUGACGGAAGGGCACCACCAGGAGUGGAGCCUGCGGCUUAAUUUGACUCAACACGGGAAACCUCACCAGGCCCGGACACUGUAAGGAUGGACAGAUUGAGAGCUCUUUCUUGAUUCGGUGGGUGGUGGUGCAUGGCCGUUCUUAGUUGGUGGAGCGAUUUGUCUGGUUAAUUCCGAUAACGAACGAGACUCUAUCCUAUUAACUAGAUUUUCGGUUUUUCAUUUGGGGGGGGUGUUAAAGCCUUUCCCGAUUAUAUUUGAGUUUGUGAAAGUCGGGGAAUCUGGAGUGCGGUUUUUCUGUUUUGCGGGUGGCGGCGUUCGCGCGUCGUCUUCCGUUCGAUAGAGCCGUGCUCCCCCUCGGCUGACACUUGCUCGCGCCGGAAAGAUACCUUCUUAGAGGAAUAAGCGGCGUCCAGCCGCGUGACAGUGAGUAAUAACAGGUCUGUGAUGCCCUUAGAUGUCCUGGGCCGCACGCGCGCUACACUGAAGGCAGCAGCGCGUCACAUCCCCCGGUCGGAGACGAUCGGGUAACCGCUGAACCGCCUUCGUGGUUGGGAUUGGGGACUGCGAUGAUCCCCACGAACCAGGAAUCCCUAGUAGGCGCGGGUCACUAGCCCGCGUCGAUUACGUCCCUGCCCUUUGUACACACCGCCCGUCGCUACUACCGAUUGAAUGAUUUAGUGAUGACUUUGGACGAUUCUGUUUGUGGAGCGCGAGCUUUACGGACGGGAAUGAAAAAUGUCCGAACUUGAUCCUUUAGAGGAAGUAAAAGUCGUAACAAGGUUUCCGCAGGUGAACCUGCAGAUGGAUCAGUUA
rnacentral:rRNA from 1 species